CCCAUCACGUCUCUUUAUCACUUUUCCAGCCCAGCUUUCUGGUUCUAGCCGUUGGACGGAGAAUUGAUAAGGGUACGGGGUCGG
rnacentral:pre_miRNA from 1 species